ACCCCAGGCCCUGGUACACAGCAGAGAUGGGUUUCACCAUGGUGAUCAGGAUGGUCUCGAACUCCUGACCUCAAGUGAUCCACCCACCUUGGCCUCCCAAAGUGCUGGGAUUACAGGCCUCCAGGCGGGCACGCAUCUUUGUUGUGUUCUCUGCUGACUAUAUCCUCAGCACCUAGAACUGUGUCUGUCACCUAAUAGAUGCUCACAAGAAUGCGGUGUGUCAGGAGAAGCAAAUCCCAAAUGAGAUAAACCUGCCAGUAAUUUCAGCAAAUGAAACGUGGAACACGUCAAGGCCAGAGGAUGGAAAAGGCUCCAGUUUUGAUAAAAGGAGGCCUGCUUGGCUUGGAAUCCUCUCUCCUGCUGGUUGGGAGAUGCAAAGAUGUUUCCAGAGAGGGGCUGAUGAAUUGAGGGGAAAGAAAUGAGCCCAGUAUGAGUCCCCUUUCAGGGCUGAGCGUGUAUAAAACCAAACAACUUGGAACCGCUCCAAGAGAGGGGAUUAAAGCAACAUGUUAUUC
rnacentral:lncRNA from 1 species